CAGUCGCCGCGGGAAUACAGAGGGUGCGAGCGUUAAUCGGAUUUACUGGGCGUAAAGCGUGCGUAGGCGGCUUCUUAAGUCGGAUGUGAAAUCCCUGAGCUUAACUUAGGAAUUGCAUUCGAUACUGGGAAGCUAGAGUAUGGGAGAGGAUGGUAGAAUUCCAGGUGUAGCGGUGAAAUGCGUAGAGAUCUGGAGGAAUACCGAUGGCGAAGGCAGCCAUCUGGCCUAAUACUGACGCUUAGGUACGAAAGCAUGGGGAGCAAACAGGAUUAGAUACCCCAGUAGUCCCUGUCUCUUAUAA
rnacentral:rRNA from 1 species